UUGGCUUAGGUUAUUGAUUUUUAAAGCAAAUGGUCAAGACUUUUAAUCUUUUGGUCGAAGGUUCGAAUCCUUCACGGCCCACCA
rnacentral:tRNA from 1 species